rnacentral:RNase_P_RNA from 1 species
GACGGCUGGGCAGCUGCUGGCCUUAGGGCUGGAGGAAAGUCCGGGCUCCAUGGAGACAGGGCGGCGGAUAACAUCCGCCCGGUGUGAAUCGAGGGAAAGUGCCACAGAGAGCAGACCGCCCCGGAGACUUCCGGGGUAAGGGUGAAAGGGUGAGGUAAGAGCUCACCGGGGCGUUGGUAACAAAGCCCGCAUGGUAAACCCCGCCCGGAGCAAGACCGAAUAGAGGGUGCAUAUGGGCCGUCUCCAGUCCGCAUCCUGGGUGUGUCGCACCAGGCACCGCGUGAGCGGUGUCGCAGAUGAAUGGCUGCCCAUCCUGCCUCGGCAGGGGGACAGAACCCGGCUUACAGGCCGUCUGGU